UACGAAGGGGGCUAGCGUUGCUCGGAAUCACUGGGCGUAAAGCGCACGUAGGCGGAUCUUUCAGUCAGGGGUGAAAUCCUGGAGCUCAACUCCAGAACUGCCUUUGAUACUGAGGAUCUUGAGUCCGGGAGAGGUGAGUGGAACUGCGAGUGUAGAGGUGAAAUUCGUAGAUAUUCGCAAGAACACCAGUGGCGAAGGCGGCUCACUGGCCCGGUACUGACGCUGAGGUGCGAAAGCGUGGGGAGCAAACAGG
rnacentral:rRNA from 1 species